rfam:Felis catus isolate Cinnamon breed Abyssinian chromosome D4, whole genome shotgun sequence.
GCCUGGGUGGCUCAGUCGGUUAAGCGUCCGACUUCAGCUCAGGUCAUGAUCUCAUGGUUUGUGGGUUCAAGCCCCACGUCAAGCU